GACGAACGCUGGCGGCGUGCUUAACACAUGCAAGUCGAACGGAAAGGCCCUGCUUUUGUGGGGUGCUCGAGUGGCGAACGGGUGAGUAACACGUGAGUAACCUGCCCUUGACUUUGGGAUAACUUCAGGAAACUGGGGCUAAUACCGGAUAGGAGCUCCUGCUGCAUGGUGGGGGUUGGAAAGUUUCGGCGGUUGGGGAUGGACUCGCGGCUUAUCAGCUUGUUGGUGGGGUAGUGGCUUACCAAGGCUUUGACGGGUAGCCGGCCUGAGAGGGUGACCGGCCACAUUGGGACUGAGAUACGGCGCAGACGGCUACGGGAGGCAGCAGUGGGGAAUAUUGCACAAUGGGCGGAAGCCUGAUGCAGCAACGCCGCGUGCGGGAUGACGGCCUUCGGGUUGUAAACCGCUUUCGCCUGUGACGAAGCGUGAGUGACGGUAAUGGGUAAAGAAGCACCGGCUAACUACGUG
rnacentral:rRNA from 1 species